GGGGCGAGCUACCAUGCAGUCGAACGGUAACAGGAAGCAGCUUGCUGCUUUGCUGACGAGUGGCGGACGGGUGAGUAAUGUCUGGGAAACUGCCCGAUGGAGGGGGAUAACUACUGGAAACGGUAGCUAAUACCGCAUAACGUCGCAAGACCAAAGAGGGGGACCUUCGGGCCUCUUGCCAUCGGAUGUGCCCAGAUGGGAUUAGCUAGUAGGUGGGGUAACGGCUCACCUAGGCGACGAUCCCUAGCUGGUCUGAGAGGAUGACCAGCCACACUGGAACUGAGACACGGUCCAGACUCCUACGGGAGGCAGCAGUGGGGAAUAUUGCACAAUGGGCGCAAGCCUGAUGCAGCCAUGCCGCGUGUAUGAAGAAGGCCUUCGGGUUGUAAAGUACUUUCAGCGGGGAGGAAGGGAGUAAAGUUAAUACCUUUGCUCAUUGACGUUACCCGCAGAAGAAGCACCGGCUAACUCCGUGCCAGCAGCCGCGGUAAUACGGAGGGUGCAAGCGUUAAUCGGAAUUACUGGGCGUAAAGCGCACGCAGGCGGUUUGUUAAGUCAGAUGUGAAAUCCCCGGGCUCAACCUGGGAACUGCAUCUGAUA
rnacentral:rRNA from 1 species